GAGGCUCCUGUGUCAAUCCGUGGAAACGGGAGGCAGAGUGAUGCGGUCACAGCUCCUGCCAUCAAUAUCCUCUAAUAUAAAUGUCAGUGAUGCUAUUUUCCGCGCAGUCAUUUCGCACACUGCUGAUUACAUUAACGUAUAAUGGAGGGGCGCCGGCUCCACUGCUUUCUCCCCUAACCCUCCCCCCGGUGAUGUGUCAAUAGCCGCCUCCAUGAACAAGUCAAUUUUCUGCAGGCUUGGCAGCGGAAUAAAUCUGCCCGGCUAUGGGGAGAGCUGGAGAUAUUUAUAUACCCAGCGCCUGCCUUCCGUGUGCGCGCGUGCGUGUGCGCGGCAGGCGCGGGCCCGGACCCCAGCGACCCGGGAGGGGGGUCGGGGGAGGAUCUGGAGCGCGCCGCCGAGUUGAAUGAUUUCCAGCCUCGACUCAAUAAGAGGAGAAUUUAGAGCGGUCCCCGAGCUGGGCUCCCAGAAACAGCCUUACACGUUUAUUUUCCUUAGCUGAACAGGAAAGGCGAGAAUUAUAUGUGGAUUUAUAGGACAGGCGCCGCUCAACCCAAAUGCUCCCGCUCCGGGGGGCCGGGAGGGGGGCGAGGGAGGGAUAGGGAGGAAAGGAGGUGGCGGGCCCCGCGCGGGCCGCUGGGACCCCCGCUCGCUCGGGCUUGCUAGGACGCACCCCCCUCGCAGGUCGCUUUAAUUACAUUUGUUCCUGUCCUUCGUGAGGGCGAGACUUCGGCACAGCCCGCUGAGGACUGGGGGGGUAGGAGGAUGCGAGGAAGAUGGAACCUGUCCCUGAGCUGCGCGACCCCAAAGCCGCUGUUUUCUCCGACCUCAACUGUGCUGUGGAACCACCAGGGGGCGGCCCGAUCCUGUUGGUCGCCAAGGGGAUCUCCGCGAGUCCUCACCGAGGCUGUGACUUGUCGCCUCCAACGCCUGGUCUCCGCGUGGCGGGUGUCCUCUGUCCUCUCCCGGAAGCCUUACGCUUGGAGCCUUCCCUUCCUGGACUGAGAAAAGAAAAUACAGCCCAACAUCCCUGCCAACAAACUGUACCAUCCAGAAAAAGAAGAGCCCUAAUGGUAGUAGCACAUCGGUGAUUCCCAGCCCUGUUUCUAUCACAAUUGCUUGAUGAGGUUCCUUUAACACAAAUAAAUUUACUCAUAACCUCA